UGGCUAUUACUGUUAACUAAAACUUACUAAAUAAUGAAUUUACUUAUUUUGCUAAAAACAUUAUGUACUUCCUAGCACCUGUUCCCUUUUACUUCCCAAUGAGUUGUGACUGACGCACCCACCAUACACUUGUUGAGCGAUACCUUGAUGGAGUGUCGCGUCUGUCCACUCAUGUAGCCACCAAGCCGCUCAUCCUGGAGAACCCCUCAAAGACAUGCUGUCUUCAAGUCUGGGUGCCUGAGGCUCCCUGGGACGCUCUUAAAGUGCAGGCUCAAUGACGCUGGCUCAGAGGCGAGGCCUCGGAGGCUCAGUAUUUAAUAAGCAGGCUCACCUGCUCACUUGCUCCAGGAAACUGCUCCCGAAGAAGCCUGACCGGAGCUCCUGCUUUCGAAGCUUCAUUCCCGUCCACGUUGCGUUUGACUGCAGGCUUCUCGAUGCUUUCCUGAUGCACAGGAAGAUGUGUCAUACCUGCUGUCCCUUUAAAACUGCCCCAGGACUACAGUAGUAUUAGCCGUCCCUCCUGGCUUUGAGUAGUGAGUGAAAAAGAGGCUGAAAGUCCUCUGAAGUCACUUUCUCCGUGUGAUCCUUCAGUGAAG
rnacentral:lncRNA from 1 species